GACGAACGCUGGCGGCGUGCUUAACACAUGCAAGUCGAACGGUGAAGCGCCUUCCUUUUUGGUGGGUGUGGAUGAGUGGCGAACGGGUGAGUAACACGUGAGUAACCUGCCCCCUUCUUCUGGAUAACCGCAUGAAAGUGUGGCUAAUACGGGAUAUUCUGGGUCUGUCGCAUGAUGGGUCUGGGAAAGAUAUUGUUUCGGUGGGGGAUAGGCUCGCGGCCUAUCAGCUUGUUGGUGGGGUGAUGGCCUACCAAGGCGGUGACGGGUAGCCGGCCUGAGAGGGUGGACGGUCACACUGGGACUGAGACACGGCCCAGACUCCUACGGGAGGCAGCAGUGGGGAAUAUUGCACAAUGGGCGCAAGCCUGAUGCAGCGACGCCGCGUGAGGGAUGGAGGCCUUCGGGUUGUGAACCUCUUUCGCCAGUGAAGCAGGCCUGCCUCGUUUGUGGGUGGGUUGACGGUAGCUGGAUAAGAAGCGCCGGCUAACUACGUG
rnacentral:rRNA from 1 species